rnacentral:rRNA from 1 species
GUUAAGCGACUAAGCGUACACGGUGGAUGCCCUGGCAGUCAGAGGCGAUGAAGGACGUGCUAAUCUGCGAUAAGCGUCGGUAAGGUGAUAUGAACCGUUAUAACCGGCGAUUUCCGAAUGGGGAAACCCAGUGUGUUUCGACACACUAUCAUUAACUGAAUCCAUAGGUUAAUGAGGCGAACCGGGGGAACUGAAACAUCUAAGUACCCCGAGGAAAAGAAAUCAACCGAGAUUCCCCCAGUAGCGGCGAGCGAACGGGGAGGAGCCCAGAGCCUGAAUCAGUGUGUGUGUUAGUGGAAGCGUCUGGAAAGGCGCGCGAUACAGGGUGACAGCCCCGUACACAAAAAUGCACAUGCUGUGAGCUCGAUGAGUAGGGCGGGACACGUGGUAUCCUGUCUGAAUAUGGGGGGACCAUCCUCCAAGGCUAAAUACUCCUGACUGACCGAUAGUGAACCAGUACCGUGAGGGAAAGGCGAAAAGAACCCCGGCGAGGGGAGUGAAAAAGAACCUGAAACCGUGUACGUACAAGCAGUGGGAGCACGCUUAGGCGUGUGACUGCGUACCUUUUGUAUAAUGGGUCAGCGACUUAUAUUCUGUAGCAAGGUUAACCGAAUAGGGGAGCCGAAGGGAAACCGAGUCUUAACUGGGCGUUAAGUUGCAGGGUAUAGACCCGAAACCCGGUGAUCUAGCCAUGGGCAGGUUGAAGGUUGGGUAACACUAACUGGAGGACCGAACCGACUAAUGUUGAAAAAUUAGCGGAUGACUUGUGGCUGGGGGUGAAAGGCCAAUCAAACCGGGAGAUAGCUGGUUCUCCCCGAAAGCU